rnacentral:rRNA from 1 species
AUUGAACGCUAGCGGGAUGCUUUACACAUGCAAGUCGAACGAGGAGCGGACGGGUGCGUAAUAUAUCGGAACGUGCCCAGUAGCGGGGGAUAUAUACUCGACAGAGUGGAUAAUACCACAUACUCUUGGAACGGCCGAUAUCGUAUUAGCUAGGUUGUGGGGUAAAGGCAUACCAAGGCCACGAUCCUGAGCUGGUUUGAGAGGACGACCAGCCACACUGGGACUGAGACACGGCCCAGACUCCUACGGGAGGCAGCAGUGGGGAAUUUUGGACAAUGGGGGAAACCCUGAUCCAGCCAUCCCGCGUGUAUGAGAAGGCCGUAGGGUUGUAAAGUACUUUUGUUAGAGAAGCGGUACCUGCAGAAUAAGCACCGGCUAACGACGUGCCAGCAGCCGCGGUAAUUC